rnacentral:rRNA from 1 species
CCUACGCGUGGCAGCAGUGGGGAAUAUUGCACAAUGGGGGAAACCCUGAUGCAGCGACGCCGCGUGAGUGAAGAAGUAAUUCGUUAUGUAAAGCUCUAUCAGCCGGGAAGAAAAUGACGGUACCUGAGUAAGAAGCCCCGUCUAACUACGUGCCAGACGCCGCGGCAAUACGGAGGGGGCAAGCGUUAUCCGGAUUUACUGGGGGUAAAGGGAGCGUAGACGGGAGUGCAAGUCUGGAGUGAAAGGCGGGGGCUCAACCCCCGGACUGCAUUGGAAACUGUACGGCUGGAGUGCCGGAGAGGUAAGUGGAAUUCCUGGUGUAGCGGUGAAAUGCGUAGAUAUUAGGAGGAACACCAGUGGCGAAGGCGGCUUACUGGACUGUAACUGACGUGGAGGCUCGAAAGCGUGGGGAGCAAACAGGAUUAGAUACCCUAGUAGUC